GCCCCUGUAGCUCAAUGGAUAGAGCGAGUGCGUUCUAAGCACUGCGUUGGGGCUUCGAAUCCCUCCAGGGGCG
rnacentral:tRNA from 1 species